UACGUAUGGAGCAAGCGUUAUCCGGAUUUACUGGGCGUAAAGGGAGUGUAGGCGGCCUGCCAAGUCUGAUGUGAAAUACCGGGGCUCAACCCCGGGGCUGCAUUGGAAACUGGCAGGCUGGAGUGCCGGAGAGACAGGCGGAAUUCCUAGUGUAGCGGUGAAAUGCGUAGAUAUUAGGAGGAACACCAGUGGCGAAGGCGGCCUGCUGGACGGUGACUGACGCUGAGGCUCGAAAGCGUGGGGAGCAAACAGG
rnacentral:rRNA from 1 species